AAAGCCUCCUCUGUGUGAUUUGUUGCACGCGUGGUCCCCAUUCCAUUGAGCACUAUCGAUGCUAAACGCUGGAUUGGUGGCAUUUAGCGCCACCGUUCCAGUGAUCUCUCAUGCAUUACAAAGUCCUCGACGCUAAACGCUGGGUCGUAGCGUUUAGCGCCACCCUUCCAGAAUGAAAUAGUGAGAAUUAAGGUGCUGGCGCUAAACACCGUUAAUGUGGUGUUUAACGCCACCUAUCCCGAGAAGAAUUGGUUUGUUGAGCUCGUCCAAUCAUCCGUACGCACAAUAGAUGCAUACGUAUGAGGUCCCUUAUUGCGCUAGUGAUGUGUACGCAUGCAUGAUGCAUACGCGUGAGUCCUUCUUUUCUUUUUCAUGAAUUUUUCACCAAAUCUUCAUCUGAAUGCUACCUGAAAUCACAAAAGGUCAAAAAAAUUCAAAGUGGCAUCCAUUAGGGUAUAAUUCACUAAAAUUCUCUGACAAAUAAAAAAAAUACCAUAUAAAUCAUAUAGAAAAGACACUAAUGAUGCUCACGCAUCACCUCCCCCCAUUUGUAGCGAGCUCAACGAGAAACCACCAUAAAUAGCUUGAUGGUUGCUGAGAACAAUGGCGAAGACAGCAACAAGCUCUCAACCCAUGGGGGGAAUUGCCACAAAAGAAGCUUUGUUCCAACAACAAACACAGUUAUCUACUCAUGGCAAUGAUUCGGUAACAACAGUUCUUGCUCCCUCUUCAGUCACAUUAACUGUGAGAUACAUGAUCAGCUUUCCUUGAGGAUGUUUGGAGCAGCUGAGCUUGAAAAAAGACUUUACAUACUGAGAGAAAGACAUAAUAAAGAGGCAAAAAUAAAUCUGGAGGCACCAACAAGCACACUGACACAGUCACACACAUUAAUGUUGUUAAUCAAUCAAAUGAGUUCCAUCUCUGGCAUUGUAGGUUAGGUCAUGUGUCAAAUGAUAGGCUAAAAAUUUUGAAAAAA